rnacentral:rRNA from 1 species
CAGUAGCCGCGGUAAUACGUAGGGUGCAAGCGUUAAUCGGAAUUACUGGGCGUAAAGCGUGCGUAGGCGGCUUCUUAAGUCGGAUGUGAAAUCCCUGAGCUUAACUUAGGAAUUGCAUUCGAUACUGGGAAGCUAGAGUAUGGGAGAGGAUGGUAGAAUUCCAGGUGUAGCGGUGAAAUGCGUAGAGAUCUGGAGGAAUACCGAUGGCGAAGGCAGCCAUCUGGCCUAAUACUGACGCUGAGGUACGAAAGCAUGGGGAGCAAACAGGAUUAGAUACCCCAGUAGUCCCUGUCUCUUAUAC